UACGGAGGAUCCAAGCGUUAUCCGGAAUUACUGGGCGUAAAGAGUUGCGUAGGUGGCAUGUUAAGCGAGUAGUGAAAGCGUUCGGCUCAACCGAAUACACAUUGCUCGAACUGGCAAGCUUGAGGACGAGAGAGGCAUCUGGAAUUCCUAGUGUAGGAGUGAAAUCCGUAGAUAUUAGGAGGAACACCGAUGGCGUAGGCAGGGUGCUGGCUCGUUCCUGACACUAAGGCACGAAAGCGUGGGGAGCAAACGGG
rnacentral:rRNA from 1 species